rnacentral:rRNA from 1 species
AUUGAACGCUGGCGGCAUGCCUUACACAUGCAAGUCGAACGGCAGCACGGGUGCUUGCACCUGGUGGCGAGUGGCGAACGGGUGAGUGAUACAUCGGAACGUACCUUAUCGUGGGGGAUAACGCAGCGAAAGCUGUGCUAAUACCGCAUACGCCCUGAGGGGGAAAGCGGGGGAUCGAAAGACCUCGCGCGAUUAGAGCGGCCGAUGCCUGAUUAGCUUGUUGGUGGGGUAAAAGCCCACCAAGGCGACGAUCAGUAGCUGGUCUGAGAGGACGAUCAGCCACACUGGGACUGAGACACGGCCCAGACUCCUACGGGAGGCAGCAGUGGGGAAUUUUGGACAACGGGGGCAACCCUGAUCCAGCAAUGCCGCGUGAGUGAAGAAGGCCUUCGGGUUGUAAAGCUCUUUUGUCAGGGAAGAAACACCGGCUCUAACACAGUCCGGGAAUGACGGUACCUGAAGAAUAAGCACCGGCUAACUACGUGCCAGCAGCCGCAGUAA